AAUGAAUUGACGGGGGCCCGCACAAGCGGUGGAGCAUGUGGUUUAAUUCGAUGCAACGCGAAGAACCUUACCUACUCUUGACAUCCAGAGAACUUUCCAGAGAUGGAUUGGUGCCUUCGGGAACUCUGAGACAGGUGCUGCAUGGCUGUCGUCAGCUCGUGUUGUGAAAUGUUGGGUUAAGUCCCGCAACGAGCGCAACCCUUAUCCUUGUUUGCCAGCGAGUAAUGUCGGG
rnacentral:rRNA from 1 species